rnacentral:lncRNA from 1 species
CCUAUCUUUUGCCUGAGCAUGCCAAGGUGGCAGAUAGGUUUAGAGGUGAAGUGUCAGGGUCCAAGAGUGUGCUGCCCUGGUGUGACAUUUUUGCCUCCAAAAUGACUCUUUCAGGUGACCAAGAUGUCACUGCUGUCCCCCUUUUGGAGAAUGUGAACCUAAGGAAGCAGUGGGAUGAGAAGACCCCUGGGAGCAAUGUGUCUCUCUGGAAAGGGAGCGUUGGACAAGAUGAGGAGUCUGGAAGGGCUGAGGGCCACGCGGAAAGCCGAACUCCAAGGUCGAGGGAGCCUGGGCUGAGUCCGGCAUCUCGUUGGCGUGAGUGCCCUUUUGCAGAGGAGUUGUUGUCAAAUGCCCAGCGCUGAGGUGGGGGAGUCAGGAGAGGUGCGUCCUGGAGCACGUAGCGUGAGGUGAGACUCUUGGGGAAGUGGCUUUGGGUCAGGCUGUGCUCUUGGACGGGUGCGAGGGAGUGGUUUCCCUCGGYGACGUUGCCCGUAUCAGUGCCGGGAGGGUCUGAGCGUGUUCUCCAGGCACUUUGGUCUCCCGGCUGGGUGGSAAGGGCAGAGCAGGCUUUGGUSUGCUGCCCCGGGAGGUCUCAUUGCCGCGUCCGUCUGGUUUCCAGGUGGCAGAUGAGCAAGAGCUGYGCAGUGCAGAGCGACACGCUGCYKCCAGAGCUGUGCAGCUCGCGCACAGAAACGUGYGGGGAGACGGCAGCUCUGCRGAGCCGYSAGGCCUGAGAGGUAACGCGACAGCUACGCCCGCUUUCCAGCRUCCGGGGCCGAGCRAGCAGCGGGACCUGCAGACCUGUGGGAGCAAGGUGACGCCCUGGAAGGGGAGGGAGGGAGCCCACGGGGCUGUGCGAGGGCCAGCAGGAGCGCGGRCUCAGUCCCUGCAGCCCAGGCGGGAGCAGGUGGCCCGUCCUCCUUGUGGGAGCCGUUGUGGAGGUGGCGGUGGGGAGAGCUUCCCUCUCUGGUCCUUGGAGGAGGUGCUGCCAGCGUGCGCCUGCGCGCUCGAGCCCGUCUUCCUCCAGUCCUCUCCGCUGACGUGGAGGGGAGGGGAAAGAGGCUUGGGAAAGGCGGGUYGRCASAGCUGAAGUGUCAGGGUCCAGGAGUGUGCUGCCCUGGUGUGACRUUUUUGCCUCCAAAAUGACUCUUUCAGGUGACYRAGAUGUCACUGCUGUACCACUUUUACRGAAUGUGGACCUAAGGGAACAGUGGGACAAGAAGACCCCCGGGAGCACCGUGUCUCUCUGGAAAGGGAGCGUUGGACAAGAC